ACACCUCAACCCUCAUGGUUUGCCAUGAUGGGCUUGGACUUUGGGGGUCUUGCUGGCAUACCGUCAGCUCCUCUCAAAUGAAUCAGCUUGCCAGUGUUUGGUGGCGUCACGGGUGUGAUAACUAUCUACGCUCGUGGUCUCCCACCAGGUAACCUUCAGCAAUGGAGGUUCGCUGGAGCUCACAAACGUCUCUCCUCAGCAAAGACAGCUUUCUGAAC
rnacentral:misc_RNA from 1 species